rnacentral:rRNA from 1 species
UGCAGUCGAGCGCAGUCCUUCGGGACCGAGCGGCGGACGGGUUAGUAACGCGUGGGAAUAUACCCAGAUCUAAGGAAUAGCCUCGGGAAACUGAGAGUAAUACCUUAUACGCCCUUCGGGGGAAAGAUUUAUCGGAUUUGGAUUAGCCCGCGUUAGAUUAGAUAGUUGGUGGGGUAAUGGCCUACCAAGUCUACGAUCUAUAGCUGGUUUUAGAGGAUGAUCAGCAACACUGGGACUGAGACACGGCCCAGACUCCUACGGGAGGCAGCAGUGGGGAAUCUUAGACAAUGGGCGAAAGCCUGAUCUAGCCAUGCCGCGUGUGUGAUGAAGGCCCUAGGGUCGUAAAGCACUUUCGCCAGAGAUGAUAAUGACAGUAUCUGGUAAAGAAACCCCGGCUAACUCCGUGCCAGCAGCCGCGGUAAUACGGAGGGGGUUAGCGUUGUUCGGAAUUACUGGGCGUAAAGCGUACGUAGGCGGAUCAGAAAGUAGGGGGUGAAAUCCCGAGGCUCAACCUCGGAACUGCCUCCUAAACUCCUGGUCUUGAGUUCGAGAGAGGUGAGUGGAAUUCCAAGUGUAGAGGUGAAAUUCGUAGAUAUUUGGAGGAACACCAGUGGCGAAGGCGGCUC